rnacentral:rRNA from 1 species
CAGAGGGUGCAAGCGUUAAUCGGAGUUACUGGGCGUAAAGGGCGCGUAGGCGGUUAGUUAAGUGAGAUGUGAAAUCCCUGGGCUUAACCUAGGAACAGCAUUUUAAACUGACGAGCUAGAGUACUGUAGAGGGUAGUGGAAUUUCCGGUGUAGCGGUGAAAUGCGUAGAGAUCGGAAGGAACACCAGUGGCGAAGGCGACUACCUGGACAGAUACUGACGCUGAGGCGCGAGAGCGUGGGGAGCAAACAGGAUUAGAUACCCUGGUAGUCCACGCUGUAAACGAUGAAGACUAGAUGUUGGUAGGCAAGACCUAUUAGUAUCGAAGCAAACGCGAUAAGUCUUCCGCCUGGGGAGUACGGUCGCAAGAUUA